CGCCACCUGAGCCCAAGCA
rnacentral:misc_RNA from 1 species